rnacentral:rRNA from 1 species
AGUGAACGCUGGCGGUAGGCCUAACACAUGCAAGUCGAACGGCAGCACAGUAAGAGCUUGCUCUUACGGGUGGCGAGUGGCGGACGGGUGAGGAAUACAUCGGAAUCUACUUUUUCGUGGGGGAUAACGUAGGGAAACUUACGCUAAUACCGCAUACGACCUACGGGUGAAAGCAGGGGAUCUUCGGACCUUGCGCGAUUGAAUGAGCCGAUGUCGGAUUAGCUAGUUGGCGGAGUAAAGGCCCACCAAGGCGACGAUCCGUAGCUGGUCUGAGAGGAUGAUCCGCCACACUGGAACUGAGACACGGUCCAGACUCCUACGGGAGGCAGCAGUGGGGAAUAUUGGACAAUGGGCGCAAGCCUGAUCCAGCCAUACCGCGUGGGUGAAGAAGGCCUUCGGGUUGUAAAGCCCUUUUGUUGGGAAAGAAAAGCAGCAGGUUAAUACCCCGCUGUUCUGACGGUACCCAAAGAAUAAGCACCGGCUAACUUCGUG